GUAGCUGCAGUCACAAACCAAGAUGUGCACGCCCGAUAAAGGAGUGAAGCUCUGCUGCUAGCACACAUGUCGCCAUAGUCCCGAGGCACCGUCUGGCAAGGCGAGAGGCUCUGCUUGUAGCACAGUCGCUACCAUAGUCCUGAUGCCCUUUCUGGGCCAGAAGCUUUGCACCUAGCAGUGAUGCCAUCAUUGUCCCGAGGUACGUUCUUGCAAGGUAAGCAAUUCACUACCCUGCGGACCCUAUUUUAUU